CGGUAAUUCCAGCUCCAAUAGCGUAUACUAACGUUGUUGCAGUUAAAAAGCUCGUAGUUGGAUUUCUGAUCUUUGCCAAUGGUUGUGUCGCCGCGUGCGAGGCGCCUUGCGCAGAGGUCAACAUAUGUCACGAGCCAGUGUGAUCUAUUCAUUUAGGUCCACUGGGUAAUGACUCGUUUACUUUGAGAAAAUUAGAGUGUUCAAAGCAGGCAUUUGCCUUGAAUAUGUUAGCAUGGAAUAAUAGCAUAGGACUUCGGUUCUAUUUGUUGGUUGUUCGAGAACUGGAGUAAUGAUUGAUAGGGACGGUUGGGGGCAUCCGUAUUCUCAAGCGAGAGGUGAAAUUCUUGGACCUUGGGAAGACGAACAGCUGCGAAAGCGUUUGCCUAGGACGUUCUCUUUAAUCAAGAACGAAAGUUGGGGGAUCGAAGACGAUCAGAUACCGUCGUAGUCUCAACUAUAAACUAUGCCAGCUAGGGAUCGGUGGGUCUUUGUCACGAGUCCAUCGGCACCUUACGAGAAAUCAAAGCAUUUGGGUUCCGGGGGGAGUAUGGUCGCAAGGCUGAAACUUAAAGGAAUUGACGGAAGGGCACCACCAGGAGUGGAGCCUGUGGCUUAAUUUGACUCAACACGGGAAAACUUACCAGGUCCGGACAUAGUAAGGAUUGACAGAUUGAAAGCUCUUUCUUGAUUCUAUGGGUGGUGGUGCAUGGCCGUUCUUAGUUGGUGGAGUGAUUUGUCUGGUUAAUUCCGUUAACGAACGAGACCCGCGCCUGCUAAAUAGUCGGCCUCACUUCUGUGGGUGUUGUACUUCUUAGAGGGACCAUCCUGGGUAUACCGGAAGGAAGUUGCGGGCAAUAACAGGUCUGUGAUGCCCUUAGAUGUUCUGGGCUGCACACGGGCUACACUGCAAGAUACAACAAGCGUCGAUCACGCCUGACUGGAAGGUCCGGCCAAUCUUUGAAUAUCUUGCGUGAUUGGGAUAGACCAUUGCAAUUAUUGGUCUUCAACGAGGAAUUCCUAGUAAACGCGUGUCAACAACACGCAUUGAUUACGUCCCUGCCCCUUGUACACACCGCCC
rnacentral:rRNA from 1 species